ensembl:lncRNA
GUGGUUUCUGAAAGUCAGGAUAGCAUUGAGACGUUUGGUUUUAAGAAUCCAGACAUUAGAUGAAGACUGUGUCAGAGGAAGGACCAAUGGGAAUUGGUAUACUAAACAUAAAGAAUUCCAACUAGAUAUCAGCUAACAGAACAGGAAAGGUAACAGCUCUGCCAAAACUAAUAGUGGAAAGAAAAGCUAGCUCAAAUGGCAGCUUAGCCAGUGUCCAUCUGAGGCCUGCACUUCGUUGGCACGGAAACAGGCCGGCUGGAUUUUCAGUAUCAGAGACAGGAGUCAGACCUUCUUCGAGGUGCUGGACAGACUGUGGUAAAUAUGACAGACCACUCUCCCACCUCCUUAGGUGGCUUACCUAAAAGGGCAGAGCUGGUAACCGUGCCCCAGACUCUUAGCACUGACCUAAGACUUCAUGGAUUUAGGCAUCACCUCAUGGUUCCUAACACUGAUGUGUCUCCAAAAACAACAGCUGGGGCCAUGUAACCUGGAG